UACGGAGGGGACUAGCGUUGUUCGGAAUUACUGGGCGUAAAGCGCACGUAGGCGGAUUUGUAAGUCAGGGGUGAAAUCCCGGGGCUCAACCCCGGAACUGCAUUCGAUACUGGCAGGCUAGAGACCGGAAGAGGUGGGUGGAAUACCCAGUGUAGAGGUGAAAUUCGUAGAUAUUGGGUGGAACACCGGUGGCGAAGGCGGCUCACUGGUCCGGUUCUGACGCUGAGGCGCGAAAGCGUGGGGAGCAAACAGG
rnacentral:rRNA from 1 species